GAGCUAUGAUGAGUUUCCUACUUCCGGUCCGUGUUUCUGAACCCUGAUUUAUAUGGAAGUCCUGAGCGA